rnacentral:sRNA from 1 species
GCCGGGUGUGAUGGCUCAUGCCUGUAAUCCCGGCACUUUGGGAGGCUGAGGUGGGAGGAUCACUUGAGGUCAGGAGUUUGAGACCAGCCUGGCCAACAUGGUGAAAUCCCAUUUCUA